UACAGAGGAGCCAAGCGUUGUCCGGAUUGACUGGGCGGUAAAGCGCACGGCAGGACGGAUGUGCGCGUGGGGUGUGAAAUCUGGCCGCUUGAACGGCCAGGCGCCAUCCCAUACGGCGCAUCUGGAGGCUGCAGAGGUCGAUGGGAAUUGCCGGUGUAGUGGUGUAAAUGCGUAGAGAUACGGCAGGAACACCCAGGGGGGAAACCAGUCGCUGGGCAGCAGACCUGACGCUGAGGUGCGAGAGCGUGGGGGAGCGAACCGG
rnacentral:rRNA from 1 species